AUUGAACGCUGGCGGCAGGCCUAACACAUGCAAGUCGAGCGGCAGCGGGAAAGUAGCUUGCUACUUUUGCCGGCGAGCGGCGGACGGGUGAGUAAUGCCUGGGCAAUUGCCUUGAUGUGGGGGAUAACUACUGGAAACGGUGGCUAAUACCGCAUGAUGCCUUCGGGCCAAAGAGGGGGACCUUCGGGCCUCUCGCGUCAGGAUAUGCCCGGGUGGUAUUAGCUGGUUGGUGAGGUAAUGGCUAACCAAGGGGACGAUCCCUAGCUGGUCUGGGCGGGUGACAAGCCACACUGGGACUGAGACACGGUCCAUAGUCCUGCGGGAGGCAGCAGUGGAGAAUAUUGCACAAUGGGGGGAGCCCUGAUGCAGCCCUGCCGCGUGUGUGAAGAAGGCCUUCGGGUUGUAAAGCACUUUCAGCGAGGAGGAAAAGUCAGUAGGUAAUAUCUGCUGGCUGUGACGUUACUCGCAGAAGAAGCACCGGCUAACUCCGUGCCAGCAGCCGCGGUAAAAC
rnacentral:rRNA from 1 species